rnacentral:lncRNA from 1 species
UUUUUUUUUGUUUGUUUGUUUUUUUGUUUUGUUUUGUUUUGCUUUAUCGAGGGCCGCUCCCACGGCAUGUGGAGGUUCCCAGGCUAGAGGUCGAAUCAGAGCUGUAGCCACUGGCCUACACCAGAGCCACAGCAACGUAGGAUCCGAGCCAUGUCUGCAGCCUACACCACAGCUCAGGGCAACGCCGGAUCCUUUAACCCACUGAGCAAGGCCAGGGAUCGAACCUGCAACCUCAUGGUUCCUAGUCAGAUUCGUUAACCACUGCGCCACGAUGGGAACUCCCCAAGCUUAUUUUUUACGUAUUACUUAGCACAUCCUCAGCAUGAUUAUUUGCUCUUAAUAAUGUUAUAAAUUCUAAGUCUUAACAUUUCACAUGAAUAUCCAAUGCAAAAAUUUCCCAGCAUUGUUUAAUUGACUUAAUGGUUCUCCUUUGGCUUAAAAUCUUAAAAAGGUAGAAUCACUUAAUCUAACUUAGAGAUAAUUUUACUCCACAAACAACUUCCCAGAGCUGCACGCCAAGGGACUUAUCUAGGCACUUGAAUGAACAGGAUAUAAAAUUCUCAUGCUCAUGUAAACUAAAGUUUACAUUCUAGUGAGAACAACAAGUAGUAAAGUAGACAAACCAUUAAAUUUCAGAAGGCAUACUAUAAAAAAUAAAGCAGGAGAGACAAGGAGAGAUUAGGGGCAAGGUGAUCACUGGUUUCUACAGUGUGAUCACUGAACAUUCCUCUAAAGAGGUAGACUCUGUGAACCCCCUUUUUAGUAGGUUGGAGGGAAUAAGCAGUGCAAAGACCUGAGAGAAGAGCAGAGCAAGAACAAGUAUUAAUGCCUGGGAAUGCCCGCGGCAUGAUCAAAGAAUAAAGGAAAGUUCAGUGUAAUAGAAGAGUGAACAGAGGGAGGAGAGCAUGGACUAACUACAUCAUGGAGGAUUUUAUAGGCCAUGGCCAGCAAUACCGUGGUUAUUUUAAUUGUAAAAGAAAAUCAUUAUAAAACAUAGAGGAGUGGCCUUUGUGAUUAACAGUUAAAAAGAUCAUUCUAGCUAUGAAAUGCAGAACAUUCUAGCUAUGAAAUGCAAAAUGUAGGAGGUCAAGUGAGAAAGCCAGAAACCAGUUAAGAGACUAUUGUAAUUAUCCAACCAGGAGAUGAUGGUUGUUUAAAUCAGAGUAAUAAGGUAGAGAUGAUGAUAUCUGAUUAGAUUAGAAAUGCAUUCAAAAGACAGAACCAAGAGGAUUUGCUGAUGGGCUAGUUAUGAGAAUAAAGAAAAGAAGAGAAUCACAGUUGACACCUAGGCUUCUGGCCCAUUUACUAAGAGCACAUUCUUCAGAGGAAAUGGUAAGGGUAAGAAUCACAACUUCUAUGUUGUGUAAAUUUAGCUUGAGAUAACAUUUUCGACAGUCAAAUGAGAUGUGGAAUAAGCAGAUGAACUAUGACACUGUACCUCAGGGAAGGGGUCUGGGCUGAAAAUAUAAAUGUGGAAGUCAAUCAGCAUUUAGAAAGUUUUGAAAGCCACAGAAAUGGAUAAAUGUAGAUGGGGAAGACUUUUUUGUUUCAUCUUCACAUAAGCCCAAUGAGGUAGCAACUUUUUUUUUUCUUUUUAAGGCUACACCUGUAGCAUAUGGAAGUUCCCAGGCUAAGGGCUGAAUCGGAACUGUAGCUGCCGGCCUACACUGCAGCCCCAGCAAUGUGGGAUCCAAGCAGCAUCUUCGACCUACGCCAUAGCUCACAGCAACGCCAGAUCCUUAAUCCACUAAGCAAGGCCAGGGACUGAACCUGCAUCCUCAUGGAUACUAGUUGGGUUCUUUACUGCUGAGCCACAACCGGAACUCCAAUUAUUCCCAUUUUAUAGAUCAGGAAACAGGCUAAGAGAUUAUCCAAUAUCAUUCUGCUAAUAAGUGGUAAUAAGUUAGAAAAAAAAAACAUGGAUCUAUGAACUACAGCACAAGGAACUCUACUCAGUAUUCUGUAAUAAACUUUAUGGGAAAAGAAUCUGAAAAAGAAUGCUUAUGAGUAUACGUAUAACUGAAUCAUUUUGUUGUACACCUAGUAAUUAACACAAUAUUAUAAAUCAACUACACUUUAAUAAAACUUUAAAAAAGGAAAAAAAAUCUAAUUCUCUAUAGUGACCACGACCUUUCUAAACCAGGGUUCAACAUGUAAACCAUAGAACUAGAAAUGAAUACUGGAGUGAAUCUUUUCUCACUUCUCCCAAGGAUGGUAUAUAACUAGUGCCAUUCUAGAUGCAUUGGAGAAAGUUUAAUCUUCACAUGCAAUUAAUGCUCAAACGUCCUAGAACAUUAGGGUUUAGUUCUCUCAUGGAACCUCACUUGUUUAAAAAAAAAAAAAAAAAAAGCUAUACUACACUGUACUAUUAUUCUAUCCAUUACUAUCUGUAGUAGUGUGGUGGUAGGAAUCACUUUAAAUGAGAGAAAAAAAGAUUGGUAACAACAUUACGUUACCAUCCUGUGACUUUUCAUGGCCUUCUCUUUGUAGCCAGUAAAAGCAAAUGUUAUUCAAAGUUUUUACAGCACCAAAAGUGAUUAUACCAGACCGCUACUGGUUUUACUCACAAUCAACAUGUUUUCCUGAGAACAUCAGUUCAUCAGAACACCAUCAGAAUUUAAGCUCCUCUGAUGCAAGAAUCUUCGUGUUUUUCCUUGGGUUUUUUGUUUGCUUUUGUUUUUUUGCUUUUUAGGGCUGCACUUGCACUUGCAACAUAUGGAAGUUCCCAGGCUAGGGGUUGAACGGGAGCUAUACAGCUGCCCGCCUACACCACAGCCACGUGGGAUCCAAGCCACAUCUGCAACCUACACCACAGCUCACAGCAACACCAGAUCCUUAACCCACUGAGCGAGGUCAGCGAUUGAACCCGCAUCCUCAUGGAUCCUAGUUGGGUUCAUUAACUGCUGAGCCACAAAGGGAACUCCUGUUUUGUUCAUUAAUGUACUCCAAACACCCAGGACAAUGUCUUUUUUGGGGGAAAGAACCUAAGUUUUCAGCCUCACUGGGCAUAACUUACUACCCUGUAAAAUGGGGAUGUUUUUCAUGUUCUCUUAGUUUCUUGGCACUGCCAAAAUCUGAUAGGAUCAUCCUAAUCCAGAACUUAUAAACUCUUGAUUUCAUUUUCCUUAAGAUUAGCCUUCUUUCUUAUGGAAAUAUAACAGGUUCCAGAUACAGCCAUUACUGGUCAAAUAACCAUACCAUAGUUCAAUGUACUAUAUGUACUGUUCAAAAUAACUGGUACACAAUGUGAACCAACUAUCACCUCAUACAGACUCUAGAGGAAAAGGUUUUCUCCUUAUAAUUUCUGCUACCCUUUGUUAAACGCCACAAGUAUUUAAGAGCACUGAUAUUAUAAAUCAAUGCAGCAACUCCAUUAAAUGCAGAAAGUUUCAAAUGAGCUAUCCUGGGUAGACCAAAAAUUACAUUCCAGUCAAUUUCCCCUGCACAAAAUAACUUACAUGUAUCAAUGCAGUAUUAAUAAACAAUAUAUUUCCACUUCAAGCUAUAAAAACAUACCAACAGCAGGCAUUAAGUGCCCUUCCACAAGGCUUUGGGUCACUGAGAUGACUGUAGGACAUUUUUUAAAAUCAGUCAUCUCUGGAAAAAAAAUUAAAAAGCACAACAACACAUUCUGAUGGUGAGGCUAUGGGUAAAAUAGGUGCUCUCGUAUAUUACUGGUGGGAAUACAAAUUAACACUUCUGGAGGGAAAUUGUGCAUAUCUAAUGAAUCUAUAUUAUGCAUGGAACUUUUCACUCAGCAAUCCCAUUUACAGGAAUCUAGCCUAAAGAUAAUCCUACUUUCACUAUGAAAAUACAUAUACACAGGUCAUAUAUUGCAACAUUGUUUAUAACUGCCAAACAACCUAAAUACCCAUACAUAGAAGAAUGGCUGAAUAAAUUAAGAUACAUCUACACAGCAGAGUAUCAUACGGCCAUAAAAAAGAAUGAAGAACAUCAACACUAUCUCUUCAAAAGAAUGAACUGAUUUGUAGUGAUUUCCAGGAUAUACUAUUUAGUUGAAAAAAGCUGCAAAAAAGUAUCUAUAAUAUGCCAUUCCUCAUAUAACAAAUAAUGGAAUGGGAAAACAGUUUGGUGGUUCCUCAAAAAGUUAUCAUAUGACCUAGUAAUUCCAUUCCAUUACACUGAAGGGAACUGAAAACACAUAUUCACAUAAAAACUUAUACAUGAAAGUUCUUAAUAGCCAAAAAAAUGCAAAACCAGAUGUCCAUCAGGUGAUAUAUGGAUGAACCAAAUGUGGUGUAGCCAUACAAUGGAUUAUCAUUCAGCCAUAAAAAGGAAUGAAGUACUGACACAAGCUACAACACAGAUGAACCUUGAAAUGACUGUUAAAUGAAAGAAGCCAGGCACGAAAGUCCAAGUAUUAUAUGAUUUUAUGCACAUGAAAUGUCCAGAACAGACAAAUUCAUACAAACAGAAAGUAGAUCAGCGGUUACUAGUGGCUAAGGAAAGGGGAAUAGGAAAUGACUACUAAUGGAUACAGCAUUUCUUUUCUGAGUAAUGAAAAUGUUCUAAAAUUAGGCAGUGGUGAUGGCUGCACAACCUUAUGAAUAGACUAAAAAACAAUGAUUUGCACACUUCAAAGGCGUCAGUUCUAUGCUAUGUGAAUUGUAUCUCAAUAAAAGAGCUGUAUGUGGGGGAAAAGGAAUAUAAAAAAACACACAUCAUCUGUUCAUCUCUGUAAAAGAGAUAAUGGAAGGAUAAACCAGAAACUAAAGAAGCUGAUUACCUAAGGACAUGGAAAAACAGGUGGGAAAAAAGGAGGGGGCGUAAAGGAAUGAGGUAAUAGGAAUAAGGAAUGACAUUUCUCUGAUUUUAUCUUUUCAUGUAAUGUUUACUAAUAGUAAUGUUUCAUAUACCAAGAUAAAUAAAAUCAAUCAGAAUUAGGGGAACCCAAAACAGAAUACAAAGAAUAAGAAAAAAAUCUAACUGCAUUACAUAUGAAUAAUACAAAAGAAGUGAGAAAGAAGUGAGAAAGAAAAGAACUAACCUAAGUAACUAACUCUGAAAACACUCUGUUGACUAGAUACUUCAAAGCUCAAAAAAGAAAAAAACAGUAUACACAAAUAUUGCAUUCUAAUUGGGAAUAUGUUUCUCAUAAUGUUACUACUUGAUGUGUAUUCUAUAAAUAAACAAAUAAAUUAUUAUCCUACAGAUAGUGAGAGCCAGGUUUCAAAUUGUCAGGAAAAAAAAAAGUUAUAAAUAAGAAAAGGUUGGAAUGAAACUGUGGUGUUGGACUGGAAAAGAAGGUAUCAAUAUGAACUCAAAUAUGGUUUUUAAUACAUAGAGAAAGAAAAAGAAAUGUGUGUGUGUGUUUGCCUGUAUCUGUGGACAGGUUAGUAUAUACACAUAUAUUUCCUAGCUCUGUCCUCUGAGGGCCUAGGAGCAGUGACAUGCCAGUGAACACAUCUAGCAUCCAGACCUUGAUUUAAAUUCUAUUCUCCAAUAAAAGGAAAAAGAUCUCCUUAGAGAAGUGGUUGAUUCCAAGAUAAGGACAAGGAAAAAUACAAGAUGAGCAUGGAAUAUAGCCUAUGGUGCCAGAAUAUAAGGAAGUGCUCAAAAAAGGGUGGAGGCCAAACUGAAAGAACUCCUCAUGGCCAAAACUGGAAGAAUCUGAGCAACAAAAGAGUGAUACUAUUAGAUUAUAAUCCAUAGAAUAAAAUAAAUACCCAUGAGGAGUUUCCAUGUGGCUCUGUGGGUUAAGAAUCCCGCAUUGUCACUGACAUGGCUCAGAUCACCACUGUGGCACAGGUUUGAUUCCUGGCCUGGGAACUUCCAAAUAAGUAAAUAAAUAGCUUAACAGACAAAUGAGGAAAGGCCAUCUCUUUUUUACAGAAAAAUUCCAAUAAUAAAUGUGAAAGGAAUGAGGGAAAUACAAAUCACCAGUAGGCAAACACUACAGUAAUAACCACAGCAGACAGUUUCAGAAAUGGUUGCUAAAAUCAGUGAGAAAGUCUGAAGAGAAAGAGUACAUCUGCAUAGUCUCAACAUAUCUCCCCUAAACCUGCAGCAAUUGGAAGUUCCCAGAGAAGGGAUCAAAUCCGGAGUUGCAGCUGCCAGCCGACAUCACAGCUGCUGGCCUAUGCCACAGGCACAGCAAUGCCAGACCCGAGCUGCGUGUGCCACCUACACCACAGCUCAAGGCAACUCCGGAUCCUUAACCCACUGGGCGAGGUCAAACCUGCAUCCUCAUGGAUACUAGUUGGAUUCAUUUCCACUGAGCCACAACAGGAACUCCCUAAGAAAUGCUUCAAUUACAAAAAGAAGAGUAACUUUAUAGUGGAAAAUAUAGCAGAGUGUGCCUUAAUAAAGCAAUCAAGGUUAAAAUAUCACUAGCAAUAAGACAUAUCAACAUCAAGUAUCCUCUAGUAUGAUGCAAUGAGAAGGAGACAUCAUAUCGGUAGUUUUCUUGCAAACAUACAUAACCUCAUUCUAAUCACGAGAAAAACAUCAGACAAACCAAAAAUGAGAAAAAUGACACAAAAUAACUGACUAGUACUCACCCAAAGUGUCAAGGUCAUAAAAGACAAACUGUCACAGACUGGAGGAGACAAGACUAUGAAACGACUAAAUGCAACAUGGGAUCCAGGAUUAGAUCCUGAAAUUUAAAAAAAUAAAACUAAAAAAAAAAAAAAAAAAAAAAAAAAAAAA